UUCUUUUGGUAACCCACAUGUAAUUCUUUUAUUUUAGACGAGUCUCCUAUUUUUUAAGGACUGAUGUCAUUUUUUGACGUGUCUCCUAUGAAUAUUGUUUGUCGACA
rnacentral:pre_miRNA from 1 species